GAAGUAAUUUUGCAUGGUUAAAUAAUUUAAGGUGACCGUGACUGCUAGAUUUUCUAGUUGUGAAGGUUAGUUUAACGUCCAUAUUUGAAGUGAUGAACUACACCUGUAUUUACUCUGCUUGUGUGAACUUGCACCAAAAACCUUGAGACAUCAUUUGUUUGCAGAUGCCACUUGGAUUGGUAGUUUAUCUAUUGCAGUGAGUUCACACAAAGAGCAUGUCUGUGUAAUCUCAGACAUGGCCUCAGGUUCUGUGCAACUUGACAUCAAACGGCUGUCAUAAGAAAAUCAGCUGUGCUCAAAUGAAGUGAAGACACAGGGUCAGAGUCCUCAGAUCUGUGGUACAAGUAGCUGUCCUCCGUCUCUUCUGUGUAACUAUGAGUCCACAAGGUCAUAGAUGCUUCCCAGGGACCACAUUGGAGAUGGGAACCAGGCCUUUACAUCUCCAUCCUUACCCACCAC